ensembl:misc_RNA 7SK 7SK RNA
AGAAGUGGAGUUGAUCUGGCUGCAAAUGUCACCCAUGGUCUGACAGUGUUGAUCCAGCUACUCUGGCUGCUUGGUGGGUAUCUUCUUUCUCCCCCAUUGCUCCAUGAGCCUCACUGCUGAAGUUUCAUUCUUGGUUGAAGAGGAUGACCUUUUCCAGUAGUAGAAGGCCAUUCUCUUUCUAGGGUCUCUCUCCUGCCAGAACUUCCAAACUCAUUCUCCAGAGCUAGCUGGGGUAUGGCAAAGCCAGGAGCACUGGUAACGUACAUAUCCAGAAAAAUGUUGGAGGCUAGGUUCCUGAAUUCCCAGGGUUAAGAAGUAUCCUCGCAUUACUCU